CCCUGGCACAAAUGCUGUGUAUUUCAUUGCAAUUUAAUGAAAUUGCAAUGAAAUACACAGCAUUUGUGCC